GAUGAACGCUGGCGGCGUGCCUAAUACAUGCAAGUCGAGCGAACAGACGAGGAGCUUGCUCCUCUGACGUUAGCGGCGGACGGGUGAGUAACACGUGGAUAACCUACCUAUAAGACUGGGAUAACUUCGGGAAACCGGAGCUAAUACCGGAUAAUAUAUUGAACCGCAUGGUUCAAUAGUGAAAGACGGUUUUGCUGUCACUUAUAGAUGGAUCCGCGCCGCAUUAGCUAGUUGGUAAGGUAACGGCUUACCAAGGCAACGAUGCGUAGCCGACCUGAGAGGGGGAUCGGCCACACUGGAACUGAGACACGGUCCAGACUCCUCGGGAGGCAGCAGUAGGGAAUCUUCCGCAAUGGGCGAAAGCCUGACGGAGCAACGCCGCGUGAGUGAUGAAGGUCUUCGGAUCGUAAAACUCUGUUAUUAGGGAAGAACAAAUGUGUAAGUAACUAUGCACGUCUUGACGGUACCUAAUCAGAAAGCCACGGCUAACUACGUG
rnacentral:rRNA from 1 species